AGAGUUUGAUAAUGGCUCAGGAUGAACGCUAGCUACAGGCUUAACACAUGCAAGUCGAGGGGAAACGACAUCGAAAGCUUGCUUUUGAUGGGCGUCGACCGGCGCACGGGUGAGUAACGCGUAUCCAACCUGCCCACCACUUGGGGAUAACCUUGCGAAAGUAAGACUAAUACCCAAUGACGUCUCUAGAAGACAUCUGAAAGAGAUUAAAGAUUUAUCGGUGAUGGAUGGGGAUGCGUCUGAUUAGCUUGGUUGGGCGGGGUAACGGCCCACCGAAGGCGACGAUCGAGGUAGGGGUUCUGAGAGGAACGGUCCCCACAUUGGAACUGAGACACGGUCCAAACUCCUACGAGAGGCA
rnacentral:rRNA from 1 species